ACUCAAAUGAAUUGACGGGGGCCCGCACAAGCGGUGGAGCAUGGGGAUUAAUUCGUCACUAACCGAAGAACCUUACCCAGGCUUGACAUCCGUCGUAAGUCCGGGAAACCGGCACCCCUUCCUCGAAAGAGGGAGCGGCGAGACAGGUGUUGCAUGGCUGUCGUCAGCUCGUGUCGUGAGAUGUUGGGUUAAGUCCCGCAACGAGCGCAACCCUCACGGCCUGUUGCCAGCGUUAAGUCGGGCACUCUGGCCGAACUGCCCGGGUAACCGGGAGGAAGGUGGGGAUGACGUCAAGUCGGCAUGGCCCUUACGCCUGGGGCUUCACCCAUGCUACAAUGGGCGCUACAGAGGGAUGCAAGCCCGCGAGGGGGAGCCAAUCCCACAAAAGCGCUCUCAGUUCGGAUUGCAGGCUGCAACUCGCCUGCAUGAAGUCGGAAUCGCUAGUAACCGCCGGUCAGCUAAACGGCGGUGAAUACGUUCCCGGGCCUUGUACACACCGCCCGU
rnacentral:rRNA from 1 species